CUUUAGUUACCAUCAUUCAGGUUGGGGACUACUAAAGAUACUCGCCCGGUUACGGGAGAAGUGGGGAUGACGUCAAGUCCUCAUGGCCCUUAUGCCCAGGGCUACACACGUGCUACAAUGGGCUGUACAAAGGGUUGCAACCCCGCGAGGGUGAGCUAAUCCCAAAAAGCAGUCCUAAGUUCGGAUUGGAGUCUGCAACUCGACUCCAUGAAGUUGGAAUCGCUAGUAAUCGCAGAUCAGCAUGCUGCGGUGAAUACGUUCCCGGGCCUU
rnacentral:rRNA from 1 species